rnacentral:rRNA from 1 species
CCUACGGGAGGCAGCAGUGAGGAAUAUUGGUCAAUGGGCGGAAGCCUGAACCAGCCAAGUAGCGUGCGGGAUGAAGGCCCUACGGGUCGUAAACCGCUUUUGCACGGGGAUAACACCCUCCACUUGUGGAGGUCUGCAGGUACCGUGCGAAUAAGGGCCGGCUAAUUCCGUGCCAGCAGCCGCGGUAAUACGGAAGGCCCGAGCGUUAUCCGGAUUCAUUGGGCUUAAGGGGAGCGUAGGCGGGCGUUCAAGUCAGCUGUAAAAUCGCGCGGCUCAACCGCGCCCCGCAGUUGAAACUGGACGCAUUGAGUUCACAACAGGCAGGCGGAAUUCGGGGUGGAGCGGUGAAAUGCAUAGAUAUCACGAGGAACCCCGAUUGCGAAGGCAGCCUGCCGGGGUGCGACUGACGCUGAGGCUCGAAGGUGCGGGUAUCAAACAGGAUUAGAUACCCCAGUAGUC